rnacentral:rRNA from 1 species
GUCUAUAGCCACAGCCCUGUGAAUGUACCCAAUCUCUAGUCUCAGAAGCAAAGCAGGGUCCAGCCUGGUUAGUACUUGGAUGGAAGACCACCUGAGAAUACUGGAUGCAAAGGGAG